UAGGGAAUCUUCCGCAAUGGACGAAAGUCUGACGGAGCAACGCCGCGUGAGUGAAGAAGGAUUUCGGUUCGUAAAACUCUGUUGUUAGGGAAGAAAAAAUGUAUAGUAACUAUAUACAAAAGAGACGGUACCUAACCAGAAAGCCACGGCUAACUACGUGCCCGCAGCCGCGGUAAUACGUCGGUGGCAAGCGUUGUCCGUAAUUAUUGGGCGUAAAGCGCGCGCAGGUGGUUUAGAAAGUCUGAUGUGAAACCCCACGGCUCAACCGUGGAGGGUCAUUGGAAACUAAUAAACUUGAGUGCAGGAGAGAAAAGUGGAAUUCCUAGUGUAGCGGUGAAAUGCGUAGAGAUUAGGAGGAAAACCGGUGGCGAAAGCGGCUUUUUGGCCUGCAACUGACACUGAGGCGCGAAAGAGUGGGGGGCAAACAGG
rnacentral:rRNA from 1 species